rnacentral:rRNA from 1 species
GGUGGCUUGCUACUGGACCUAGCGGCGGACGGGUGAGUAAUACUUAGGAAUCUGCCUAUUAGUGGGGGACAACGUUCCGAAAGGAGCGCUAAUACCGCAUACGCCCUACGGGGGAAAGCAGGGGAUCUUCGGACCUUGCGCUAAUAGAUGAGCCUAAGUCGGAUUAGCUAGUUGGUGGGGUAAAGGCCUACCAAGGCGACGAUCUGUAGCGGGUUUGAGAGGAUGAUCCGCCACACUGGGACUGAGACACGGCCCAGACUCCUACGGGAGGCAGCAGUGGGGAAUAUUGGACAAUGGGCGCAAGCCUGAUCCAGCCAUGCCGCGUGUGUGAAGAAGGCCUUAUGGUUGUAAAGCACUUUAAGCGAGGAGGAGGCUUACCUGGUUAAUACCUAGGAUAAGUGGACGUUACUCGCAGAAUAAGCACCGGCUAACUCUGUGCCAGCAGCCGCGGUAAUACAGAGGGUGCAAGCGUUAAUCGGAAUUACUGGGCGUAAAGCGCGCGUAGGUGGCCAUUUAAGUCAAAUGUGAAAUCCCCGAGCUUAACUUGGGAAUUGCAUUCGAUACUGGAUGGCUAGAGUAUAGGAGAGGAAGGUAGAAUUCCAGGUGUAGCGGUGAAAUGCGUAGAGAUCUGGAGG